rnacentral:rRNA from 1 species
AGCGAACGCUGGCGGCAGGCCUAACACAUGCAAGUCGAGCGCCCCGCAAGGGGAGCGGCAGACGGGGGAGUAACACGUGGGAACGUGCCCUUUGGUUCGGAACAACCCAGGGAAACUUGGGCUAAUACCGGAUAAGCCCUUACGGGGAAAGAUUUAUCGCCGAAGGAUCGGCCCGCGUCUGAUUAGCUAGUUGGUGGGGUAAUGGCCCACCAAGGCGACGAUCAGUAGCUGGUCUGAGAGGAUGAUCAGCCUCACUGGGACUGAGACACGGCCCAGACUCCUACGGGAGGCAGCAGUGGGGAAUAUUGGACAAUGGGCGCAAGCCUGAUCCAGCCAUGCCGCGUGGGUGAUGAAGGCCCUAGGGUUGUAAAGCCCUUUCGGCGGGGAAGAUAAUGACGGUACCCGCAGAAGAAGCCCCGGCUAACUUCGUGCCAGCAGCCGCGGUAACAC